UACAGAGGUCUCAAGCGUUGUUCGGAUUCAUUGGGCGUAAAGGGUGCGUAGGUGGCGGGGUAAGUCAGGUGUGAAAUUUCGGAGCUUAACUCCGAAACUGCAUUUGAUACUGCCUUGCUUGAGGACUGGAGAGGAGACUGGAAUUCACGGUGUAGCAGUGAAAUGCGUAGAUAUCGUGAGGAAGACCAGCGGCGAAGGCGGGUCUCUGGACAGUUCCUGACACUGAGGCACGAAGGCCAGGGGAGCAAACGGG
rnacentral:rRNA from 1 species